rnacentral:lncRNA from 1 species
GCGGAAUGUGAGCCGCGGGAGAGGGAGCGGGAGGCGCAGGGGAGGCGGAGGCCGGUGAAGGAUUUGGGGAAAGUUAGGGUUUGGGAUUGGGGCUUGGAGAAGGAAGAAGCAGCGAGGGAGGUGGAUUUGGAGAAAGCCCUAGGGGUGGAGGAGAUGAGAGCAGUGGAGGCAGCCAUGAGGUUGGUGUUGGUAGCUCACACACACUCACUCAGACUCAGUAUCAGUCGGUCACACCCUGUGAGAGUCAGGGUCGUCUUUCUUAAGGUGGAGAAAU